ensembl:miRNA
GGCUUGUUUUAAGUUGCCUGUGAAUUUUAUCUGUUACACAGGCAGCUAAAGCAAGCCUUGA